rnacentral:rRNA from 1 species
UACCUUUAGUACGGCGAGUGAAGCGGCAAAAGCUCAAAUUUGAAAUCUGGUACCUUCGGUGCCCGAGUUGUAAUUUGGAGAGGGCAACUUUGGGGCCGUUCCUUGUCUAUGUUCCUUGGAACAGGACGUCAUAGAGGGUGAGAAUCCCGUGUGGCGAGGAGUGCGGUUCUUUGUAAAGUGCCUUCGAAGAGUCGAGUUGUUUGGGAAUGCAGCUCUAAGUGGGUGGUAAAUUCCAUCUAAAGCUAAAUAUUGGCGAGAGACCGAUAGCGAACAAGUACAGUGAUGGAAAGAUGAAAAGAACUUUGAAAAGAGAGUGAAAAAGUACGUGAAAUUGUUGAAAGGGAAGGGCAUUUGAUCAGACAUGGUGUUUUGUGCCCUCUGCUCCUUGUGGGUAGGGGAAUCUCGCAUUUCACUGGGCCAGCAUCAGUUUUGGUGGCAGGAUAAAUCCAUAGGAAUGUAGCUUGCCUCGGUAAGUAUUAUAGCCUGUGGGAAUACUGCCAGCUGGGACUGAGGACUGCGACGUAAGUCAAGGAUGCUGGCAUAAUGGUUAUAUGCCGCCCGUCUUGAACACCACGAAACC